rnacentral:rRNA from 1 species
AUUGAACGCUGGCGGCAUGCCUUACACAUGCAAGUCGAACGGCAGCGCGGACUUCGGUCUGGCGGCGAGUGGCGAACGGGUGAGUAAUACAUCGGAACGUACCCUGUUGUGGGGGAUAACUAGUCGAAAGAUUAGCUAAUACCGCAUACGACCUGAGGGUGAAAGUGGGGGAUCGCAAGGCCUCACGCAGCAGGAGCGGCCGAUGUCUGAUUAGCUAGUUGGUGGGGUAAAGGCCCACCAAGGCAACGAUCAGUAGCUGGUCUGAGAGGACGAUCAGCCACACUGGGACUGAGACACGGCCCAGACUCCUACGGGAGGCAGCAGUGGGGAAUUUUGGACAAUGGGGGCAACCCUGAUCCAGCAAUGCCGCGUGUGUGAAGAAGGCCUUCGGGUUGUAAAGCACUUUUGUCCGGAAAGAAAUCGCGCUGGUUAAUACCUGGCGUGGAUGACGGUACCGGAAGAAUAAGCACCGGCUAACUACGUG